GUGAGUCAUCGAAUCUUUGAACGCACAUUGCGCCCGCCAGUAUUCUGGCGGGCAUGCCUGUCUGAGCGUCAUUUCAACCCUCGCAACCAGCUUGCUGGAUGCGGUGUUGGGGAUCGGCCCCCCGUACUGGGAGGCCGUCCCUUAAAUAGAGUGGCGGUUGCGCUGUGACCUCCUCUGCGUAGUAGCAAUAUCUCGCAGGCGGAUAGCGGUGUAACCACGCCGUAAAACUCCCAACUCUUCUUUGGUUGACCUCAGAUCAGGUAGGAAUACCCGCUGAACUUAAGCAUAUCAAUAAGCGGAGGA
rnacentral:misc_RNA from 1 species